rnacentral:rRNA from 1 species
GACGUAGGGCGCGAGCGUUGUCCGGAUUUAUUGGGCGUAAAGAGCUCGUAGGCGGCUCAUUGCGUCAACCGUGAAAACCAGCAGCUCAACUGUUGGCUUGCGGUUGAUACGGGUGGGCUGGAGUUCGGUAGGGGAGACUGGAAUUCCUGGUGUAGCGGUGAAAUGCGCAGAUAUCAGGAGGAACACCGAUGGCGAAGGCAGGUCACUGGGCCGCAACUGACGCUGAGGAGCGAAAGCAUGGGGAGCGAACAGG